rfam:Schistocephalus solidus strain NST_G2 genome assembly, scaffold: SSLN_scaffold0000133
GGCCUCGUAGCUCAGUUGCCUAGAUCUUUGGCUGAACUUAAGCCUUACCUUUGCUGGUGUGGGUUCAAAUCCCACCGAGGCCG